UCAAACAAAUAUAAUAUAAUUUAUUAGGUAGAAGAAAAGGACUGUAAAAUAAAUAAUUUAACACACGAAGUAUUUAUAGGUUAGGUUCAGAGAAUAAGUACAUUCUUAAUCCUUCUCAUGUUAAAUCUAUGUUCGUCUUCAAUAUUAAUUCAAGGUACAUCACAGAACAAAUUUAUAGCACAAUUGGACAUCUAGAUAUGAAUUGGAUAUAUAGAUGAAUGCUCUCCUUAUGUAAUUGGAGUGCCUAAUUUGUGAAGCUGUAGAGGCACUCUACACAGGUCAAAUCACUUCUCGAUUAAAAUUCUUAUUUUAUAUCAAAUGUCUUUGGUCAAGACAAUUAGCUUGACUCUAUUUUGUUCCUUGUGAAUCAUUUAUUUUCUAUGUCUCUAAGUAUUUUGAAUUUCUUUUUCAGAUUUGAUUUUUAACUUGAACUAGUUUUUUUCCAUAUGAAUAUAACAUUAUAUUUAAUAUAAUCUUGAAUAUAACAUACUAUUUCAAGCAGUCUUAGUCUUGGUUCGCUGCUGUUAGCAGUCUGAGCAGGGAUAAUCCAUAUACUAAAUAUUUAGAAGUCUAGCACAUUCCUCUUAGCAAAAAACAAACAUAACAUGCAACUGAGAAGACUUUAGUAGAGGCUUGUCUUGAUAGUGCAUGUUACUUUAGUAUGAAAGAAAACAUCAAGGUAGUCCUUAGCAAGCAAUUGUCAAGUAUUAGAAUUAAAAAUCCUUAGUACACAUUGAAUGGAAGUAUACUUGAUACUCUAAAUUGUUAGUUGGCAAAGCAAGUCACUACCCUCAUUAAUGCAAGUAAUUGUUAAGUCCUAAGCAAGACACAAGCCUCAUUGAGUUAUUCAAGUGACAAAAAGCACAUUUAUAACCCUUGACACAGUUACAUCAUAUAUAGACGUUAUAGCAAAAGACUAGAUUAACUGUGUCACACUAGUUUUGCAGCAAAUGUACAAAACAGAAUGAAGGUGUUAACGGGAUGAUGUUCAAGUUUAAUAAGAUUUUAAACACAUUGUCAACAUGUUUAAUGCAAUAGGUUUUAACUGUUACAAGUUUUAAUCAGGAUUAGAACAUACUAUUUCAAGCAUUUUUAGUCUUGGUUCACUGCUGUUAUCAGUCGAAGCAGAACAAUAAUCCAUAUGAUGAAUAUUUAGAAGUCUAGCACAUGCCUCUUAGCAAAAAUAAACAUAAAAUGCACCUGACAAGAGUUUAAUAGAGGCUUGUCAUGAUAGUAUAUGUUCCUUUCGUAUGAAAGAAAAUAUCAAGGUAGACCUUAUAAAUCCCUAGCAAGUGUCAGUAUUAGAACUAAAAAUCCUUUGUACCCUUUGAAUGGAAGAAUACUUAAUCCUUUUAGCAGUUUAACUUAGGCAAGUAACACUAUUUAUUAUUCUAAAUUGUUAGUUUGCAAAUCAAGUCACAAUCCUCAUCAAUGCAAGUAAUUGUUAUGUUCUAAGCAAGACACAAGCCUCGUUAAGUUAUUCAAGUGACAAGCUGUAGAAUUUAAAAUCCUUUAGAGUCCCUAACAGAGUGACAUAACUUAACUUCUUUAUGGAACAUUUAUAACCCUAGAUGCAGGUAUAUCAUAUAUAGACUUAUAACAAAAGACUAGAUUAAAUGUGACACAACAAGUAAGUUUUGCUGCAAAUGUACAAAACAGAUUGAAGGUCUUAACAGGAAGAAGUUCAAGUUUAACAAAUUCUAAACAUACUUCAUAAUAGAUUCGAAGUGUUGUUUCAGUAACUUCAUCAAUUUCAUCUUUCCUAGAAGGCGAGUUUAUAAUCUGCUACUCUACUAGAUAGAAUGUGUCUAUUGCUGAGUAAGUCAUGGUUGAACUUUAAGAAUCUCCACAUUUCCCCAUAAAUGGGGUUCAGUGACGACGUUUGAGAGAAAAGAAGAAGAAAUUGUUGUGGAAGCACUAAUUUUUUUUUUCGAACUACUUCUCUAGUUCGGUUCGGCCUAAUAUAGGUUUCGACUUUCAUGUAAUUUGUUUUAUGGUUUACACAUUUUCACUUUGACUAUAGUGGAUAGUAAAUCUUUAUAGCUCAUCUACCAUUUGAGUUGGAUUGGCACAUCUAUUUGAGAAAGGUAUCAGAUAAUUAUAUGCGAAACAUUCGAGACUACUACAUAAACAUGCACAAAAAUGUAGUUAAUAAGAUGUUAGACAUUUGUUUGCAAUGCAUUACAUUGUAUGUUAAUGUAAGAAUUUUAUUUAUCAAUAUGAAGAUUUAAAUUAUUUAA